rnacentral:rRNA from 1 species
UGGGGAAUUUUGGACAAUGGGCGAAAGCCUGAUCCAGCAAUGCCGCGUGUGUGAAGAAGGCCUUCGGGUUGUAGAGCACUUUUGUCCGGAAAGAAAUCCUUGGCUCUAAUACAGUCGGGGGAUGACGGUACCGGAAGAAUAAGCACCGGCUAACUACGUGCCAGCAGCCGCGGUAAUACGUAGGGUGCAAGCGUUAAUCGGAAUUACUGGGCGUAAGCGUGCGCAGGCGGUUUGCUAAGACCGAUGUGAAAUCCCCGGGCUCAACCUGGGAACUGCAUUGGUGACUGGCAGGCUAGAGUAUGGCAGAGGGGGGUAGAAUUCCACGUGUAGCAGUGAAAUGCGUAGAGAUGUGGAGGAAUACCGAUGGCGAAGGCAGCCCCCUGGGCCAAUACUGACGCUCAUGCACGAAAGCGUGGGGAGCAAACAGGAUUAGAUACCCUGGUAGUCCACGCCCUAAACGAUGUCAACUAGUUGUUGGGAUUCAUUUCCUUAGUAACGUAGCUAACGCGUGAAGUUGACCGCCUGGGGAGUACGGUCGCAAGAUUAAAACUCAAAUGAAUUGACGGGGUCAUAGCUGUUUCCU